rnacentral:rRNA from 1 species
GACGAACGCUGGCGGCGUGCUUAACACAUGCAAGUCGAACGCUAACGCUCAGCUUGCUGGGUGGAUGCGUGGCGAACGGGUGAGUAACACGUGAGUAACCUGCCCUCUUCUUUGGGAUAACGCCCGGAAACGGGUGCUAAUACUGGAUAUCCACUCAUUCCCGCAUGGGGGUUGGUGGCAAGGUUUUUUCUGGUGGGGGAUGGGCGCGCGGCCUAUCAGCUUGUUGGUGGGGUGAUGGCCUACCAAGGCUUUGGCGGGUCGCCGGGCUGAGAGGGUGACCGGGGAAAUUGGAACUGGGACACGGCCCUGAGGGAGGCAGCAGGCAGCAAUAGGGAAUAAUGGGCGCUAGGCGGAAGCCGGAAGCAGGGGCGUCGGGAGAAGGAUGGAGGGCUUCAGAGUGUAUACCUCUUUGGGUAAUGGUCAAGCCGCAGCUUCGGGUUGUAGUGAGGGUAGUGGGUGAAGAAGCGCCGGCUAACUACGUG